CAUAGUGAGUGUACUCUGUAUGGAGAUGAAGGUUCAGUGUGUAUAAAAAGGCUGUUGUCCUUACGCCGAAGCACAGUAGGCAAACAGGAGGCUGAGGAGACUAACAGUUGUUGAGUGUUGUUGGAUCUUUUAGGUUCUAGUCAUGGAGCUUGGUCUCGCGAUGAGGAGCCUCCUCGUCGUGUGCGUUCUAUCGCUGCCCCGUCUCUCUACCUCGACCCCCUUGGCCUCCCCUGCCGCUGAUCCCAUGCCCGGCCCUGCCGCUGAUCCCCUGCCCGGCCCUGCCGCUGAUCCCAUGCCCGGC
rnacentral:lncRNA from 1 species